rnacentral:rRNA from 1 species
GGCGAUGAUGCAUAGCCCGAGUUGAGAGACUGAUCGGGCCACAUUGGGACUGAGACACGGCCCAAACUCCUACGGGAGGCAGCAGUAGGGGAAUCUUCCACAAUGGACGCAAAGUCUGAUGGAGCAACGCCGCGUGAGUGAAGAAGGGUUUCGGCUCGUAAAAGCUCUGUUGUUGGUGAAGAAGGACAGGGGUAGUAACUGACCUUUGUUUGACGGUAAUCAAUUAGAAAGUCACGGGCUAACUACGUGCCAGCAGCCCGGUAAAU